GUGCCAGCAGCCGCGGUAAUACGUAGGGUGCGAGCGUUGUCCGGAAUUACUGGGCGUAAAGAGCUCGUAGGUGGUUUGUCGCGUCGUCUGUGAAAUUCCGGGGCUUAACUCCGGGCGUGCAGGCGAUACGGGCAUAACUUGAGUACUGUAGGGGAGACUGGAAUUCCUGGUGUAGCGGUGAAAUGCGCAGAUAUCAGGAGGAACACCGGUGGCGAAGGCGGGUCUCUGGGCAGUAACUGACGCUGAGGAGCGAAAGCAUGGGUAGCGAACAGGAUUAGAAACCCUUGUAGUCC
rnacentral:rRNA from 1 species